GACGAACGCUGGCGGCGUGCUUAACACAUGCAAGUCGAACGAAGUGGCGAACGGGUGAGUAACGCGUAAUCAACCUGCCCUUCAGCGGGGGACAACAGUUGGAAACGACUGCUAAUACCGCAUACUGAAGGAGGGGAUUGCGUCUGAUUAGCUAGUUGGAGGGGUAACGGCCCACCAGGGCGAGGAUCAGUAGCCGGAAUGAGAGGAUGAACGGCCACAUUGGGAGUGAGAAACGGCCCAGACGCCUACGGGAGGCAGCCGUGGGGAAACGGCAGGAAGGGACGAAAGACAGAGGGAGCAACGCGGAGUGAGGGAGGAGGGACGUCGGGUUGUAAAGCACUGUUAAUCGGGACGCGGUACCGGAAUAGAAAGCAACGGCUAACUACGUGCCAGCAGCCGCGGUAAUUC
rnacentral:rRNA from 1 species